AUGGAAUCACAGAAUCAUAGAAUCUCCUGGGCUGGAAGGACCCCCAAGGAUCAUCGAGUCCAACUCCUGGCCCUGCAGAGACACCCCAACAAUCCCACCAUGAGCCUGAGAGCUCUGUCCCAAUGUAAAGUCCUCUCCUGAAAUCCUUAAGUCUUUUUUCUGGCAUCACAGUGAAUGUCCAAAGUGUGGAGAGCCUUCCUGGCUGCCAGGGCAGUGAAGUUGUGUUUUCUCAGGAAUGCUGCAAAACACUGAAGAAAAACUUAAUUUCUCCUCAACCACUGGAGCAUUUGUGUGCUGAAAAAAGCACUGACAAACUCUGCAGACACUGUGUGGUUGUGUGUGGCCUCCAGCACUCCUGGGCUGGGCUGGUUUCGCUCUGCUCCCGAUGUCCCGAGACGCAGGAGCCAUCGAUCCGAGGUCCUGACACCUCUGCCACGAGCCUGGAGGAGCAGCCAGAGUUUAGCACUUGACUUGCAGCCAGAGGGCUCCCAGGACUUGGGAGCAUGUCAUGAAAACGUUGGAAAUAGAUACUAUUUGUUGUGUUUCUUGUA